CAACAAUGUCCUGGCACAGUACAGCCUGAGGGGGAGGAGAGCAAAAAAGCCUUUCCAGAACUUAACCCUUUGCAAAAUUAUAACGGAGGCCUGCAUGCAGAACUUCCCUGGCAAGAAGGUAGCUGAUAUUGAGGAGUGCAUUGGGCAUGCACUGAAGUUUGCACCACACAGACGGUCAGCUGGUCCUCAAGAUUGAAGACGUACACCAACUUCUAUGCACACGCACCCGUUUUUGGC